rnacentral:tRNA from 1 species
GGAAGUAUGGCUGAGUGGUCGAAAGCGGCACACUGCUAACGUGUUGGACUCCUUGGGUCCCGGAGGUUCGAAUCCUCCUGCUUCCG